UACAGAGGGUGCGAGCGUUGUCCGGAAUCACUGGGCGUAAAGGGCGCGUAGGCGGCCCGGUAAGGUUGCGGUGAAAGCCCGGGGCUCAACCCCGGGUCGGCCGUGGCAACUGCUGGGCUGGAGCACAGUAGAGGCGGGUGGAAUUCCGGGUGUAGCGGUGGAAUGCGUAGAGAUCCGGAAGAACACCGUUGGCGAAGGCGGCCUGCUGGGCAGUAGCUGACGCUGAGGCGCGACAGCGUGGGGAGCAAACAGG
rnacentral:rRNA from 1 species